CCUACGGGCGGCAGCAGUAGGGAAUCUUCCGCAAUGGACGAAAGUCUGACGGAGCAACGCCGCGUGAGUGAAGAAGGUUUUCGGAUCGUAAAACUCUGUUGUUAAAGAAGAACAAGGAUGAGAGUAACUGCUCAUCCCCUGACGGUAUUUAACCAGAAAUCCACGGCUAACUACGUGCCAGCAGCCGCGGUAAUACGUAGGUGGCCAGCGUUGUCCGGAGUUAUUGGGCGUAAAGCGAGCGCAGGCGGUUGUUUAAGGCUGAGGUGAAAGCCGCCGGCUCAAACUGAGAGGGUCAUUGGAAACUGUAGAACUUGAGUGCAGAAGAGGAGAGUGGAAUUCCACGUGUAGCGGUGAAAUUCGUAGAUAUGUGGAGGAACACCAGUGGCGAAGGCGACUCUCUGGUCUGUAACUGACGCUGAGGCUCGAAAGCGUGGGGAGCAAACAGGAUUAGAUACCCUUGUAGUC
rnacentral:rRNA from 1 species